GUCUCAGAGCCUGAGGUGAGGCAAGUACUAACUCUAAAGGGCAUUUGCUAGCCACCUUUAGUAGUCUGGACAUCCUUCCACAUGUAAUAGGGGGUGCCUGGGGAUUUACAAACAUUGACAGAGCAGACAAAUAUUUCCCACCUACGUCCCAUGUUUCAGAUAUUCAGAGGGUGACGAUGCACGGAACAGGGUGAGACAGCCAGGAGUCUGCAGAAUUCAAGGACUGUCAGAGGAUGACAAGCUUGCGCCCUCUGUGGAUCACAGGAGAGAUACAACCUGGAUCUCUCAUCAUGAGACAUGAUCAGCUACGGAGAGCGGCAGAGGGAGGUCUACAACGAACCAGGAGCCCGGUAAAAGCAUGACUUCAGGAGCAGUCGUUAGAGAUGUUCUAGUGAAGAAGAUGCGAGUAUAAGUAUGUCCAUGCCCUCCUGCCACCCCCUCCUUGGACUCAGUACCAGGCAUUCCGAUGGCAUCUUGUUGGCGUUGGGAAAUGUGUUCUGGGAUUUCAAUCACGCUCCUUGCCUUCUGCUGUUGAACCAGCCUGGAGUCCCACGGGCCUGGAAUUCAGCAGGCAGUUUGCUGACUGAGCCGUCGACCCAGCUCUCCACAAACCUUUUCUCCAUGAUGUGCAGCCUGCUCCCUCCUGUUCGAAACAGUCUCCAUUCAGGGGAGGUCAGAAGCUGGCAAAACUUAGGAAAUGCAUGAGCUUUCAACAUUAUCACCGAGCUCUUCUGAGGUUAUACAAGCAGCAGAAGCUGGCCGGGCAGGGAGAGCAGACUCUACGGUGCCGCCGCCUGCAAGCUGUGGAAGGGACUCCAAUAUCGCAGCUCUCCUGAGUCAUCGCCCAUUCUGGGGUGGGCUUUGGAGAAUGCAGCCGUUUGAAAGGUUGUGGGAAACGAAUGAACUUUGUAAGCAGCCAGGGUCAAGUCUGAGCCCCCGGGGGACUUACCUGAAAUGUCCUCGUGGGCUACUGAAUCCGAAUGACAUCUUCCCGUAAAAUGGGAGCAGCUGAGUUCUCAGGGUACUUACACGGACUGAGCGAUAGAAGAAGAAAUGCCGUCCUGGAGAUUACACAGAGGUUAUGAAUCGGAGGCUCCGGAGCCAGCAGCCAGGUUUGGAUUAGCUCCAGAGUGAUUGGCGACCUGUUUGGGAAGAUGGGGGAUGGAUGAACCUGGUUGGACACGUAAACAGCAUCAUCCACCUGGAACCACUAAGACACAGGUAGAUGAGGUGAACUCAUUGAAAGUUGAUUCCGUGUCUACCAAAUGGCCAUACUAUCAGAGUCCAGCAGGGUCCAGUACUACGGAGGGCAUGGCUGAGCUGACCUGAAAUGGGGGUGUGCUGAACUGAGCAACAGCCCUCUUCCCCACAGGAGAUACGUUAGAGUCUUGUGACCAGCCAACUAAGUUUUGUUUAUCCACGUCUUACGAAUAGAAUCUACCUUUUCCAUGUUUUCUAGGAAGAAAUGGAGGCAGUUGGCAAGAAUAAGGGGACAAACUGGAGCAUUGGAAGUCAGAAGGCCUGGACACCUGGCUGUGUCACUGAUGUCAAAACUUUGAAUGGACUAUUCCUAUCAUUGCGACAUUGACAUAUCUUCUUUUUAAAGGGGAGGAUUUGCAUUAGAUCACGGGGCUUCUUUCUCCUAGCACUCAGUUAUGAUUUAUGAGACUAGACAAUAGGUGUGGCGUGGUGUGCAAAUGAUAGAUUCAGAAACAAAUGCUAUGGAGAUUCAUGUUUCAGCAUCCAAGUAGGGCUUCACUGUAAAUGAUGUAUGCAUAGACUAUACCCUGGUUGGGGUGUGACAUGCCUCCUGGCUCCCCUUGAGAACUGAAGUGCUCUCCCCUCCCAAGCUGGUGGGGGGAGUGCUGUCUGCUUAAUGCUUGCUACAGAAAUCUCCUGAACUGAAGAGAAUGGCUCCCCAGUAGCCUGUCUCUGAGAACAGCCUUUAUGCAGUCACUAGCUCUUGUGAGAGUGUGAGAGCCAAGCCCUCUUGUUUCCUUUCUGAAAAGCUUUAGAGAAUUCCCUAGCCCAGAACUCCUCUGGAAUCCACUGGAACUGUACCCCACUUCUACUUCCCCUUCACCUCUACCCAUCCUGCCCUCUUCAUUUCUUACUUUUUUUUUUUU